GAUGAAGAACGUAGCGAAAUGCGAUAAGUAAUGUGAAUUGCAGAAUUCAGUGAAUCAUCGAAUCUUUGAACGCACCUUGCACCCUUUGGUAUUCCGAAGGGUAUGCUCGUUUGAGUGUCAUUGUACUCUCACACUUCUAAUUCCUUUCGGGAUUGGGAGCGGUGGACUUGGGUGUUGCUGCUUUAGUUGUGGCUCACCUCAAAUAAGUUAGUGCAACUCUUGGUUGGACAUAGUACGGCGUGAUAAGUGUCUUCGCCGGCGCCUCUGUAAGGAGGGUGGCCGAUCGGGAGCUCUGUGCUUCCAAUCGUCUUCGGACAACCGCUGACAACUUGACCUCAAAUCGAGUAGGACUACCCGCUGAACUUAAGCAUAUCAAUAAGCGGAGGA
rnacentral:misc_RNA from 1 species